CCUUACACCAUUAACACAUAUACUAAAAUUGGAAUGAUACAGAGAAGAUUAACAUGCUCCUUGCACAAGGAUAACAUGCAAAUUCGUGAAGUGUUUCAUUUUAAA
ensembl:snRNA U6 U6 spliceosomal RNA